rnacentral:tRNA from 1 species
GACCCCAUCGUCCAGCCUGGUUAGGACACAAGCUUUUCAAGCUUGCGACGCGGGUUCAAAUCCCGCUGGGGUCG